UAUUUUUUGUUUCUCUCUUUAUUUUUUCUGACUUGUCAUUCUAUGUUCAAAUAUUCAUGCCAAAAUUUAGUGUUUUUGUAUGUAUCAAUCGGUGGUUUAAUCGUGAAAUUGAUAGGAGUAAGCUAUGAUACAUGUUGGAUUGGCAGAUAUCUAAUAAAUAUGCCUUUUUUUUUUGGAUGCUUAGAAGCUUGGAUUGGAGGAUUCACAAAAUAAAUAAAUGCAUAAUUACUGCAGUUAACUACAAAUAGCUUUUCUUGGCCUCAUAAUCAGUGAAAGUUAUUGAUUGUUCUGUUGUGAUUACUUUUUUGAAGUAUUCUGGCUUCUUGAAGUUCCAUUCUUAUAUCCAAUCUUUUGCAAACCUCAUCUCUCGGUAACAGGCAACACUAUUUGUUUAUAAAAAGAAAUGGAAAAUUUGGUUGAGGAGAAGGUUUGCCUUACUGCUACUUUUGCUAUUUGGGUGUUCGAUAUGGAUGACAAAUGGUUCUUCUGUAAGAUGAUCUCAAGCAUAUAUACCCAUUAGCAAUUUGCAGAUUCGCUCUUCAACGCUUAUGCAAAGCUUGAGGUUAAUAACUAUUAAUGGUUUUGGGCAAGGAAAUGGUUUGCUGGAUGUUUUAUUGCCCAAUUUUGUUCUUUUCUUUACCCCUAAUUUGUAAUGUCUUUGUCGUUUGUUGUAUGUCAAUUAAAAGAGAGUGAAAAUGAGGAAAAUAAA